UUAAAUUAAAUUCGUAUGCAGUUGGAAAACGAACCUAGAGGCAAACGUAGGCAAACGAUCCAACUGUAUACAAAUUUGAGUUA
rnacentral:pre_miRNA from 1 species